AGGAGGAAUGUGAAGUCACCAUUUGUAUCUGCUGAACUGUGAUGACCUGAUCCUUAUGUUCCUGAGGUUAAACCAUGCAGUGGCAAGCCAGAAUAAAGGAGUUCUCCAGUUUCCCUGCUGAAGCAAAACAGCGCUCUUGCUUGCUCACGUGAGAAGACAGCGCGGAAUGUGCCCAGCAGGCUCUGUGAAGUCCGUGGCUUCAUGGAAACCUCUGCACUACACUAGUCACUUGAGUCUGAUGCCUCUUGCUGCAGCACUGCCAAGAAGGAACAACUGUUGCCUUCUAAGAGCCAGAUGGAUUGCAGAUGGAGGAUCCAGAGUCGAAGAUUUCAAUGGGGGCAAAAAAGACCA